rnacentral:rRNA from 1 species
UACAGAGGGUGCAAGCGUUAAUCGGAGUAACUGGGCGUAAAGGGCGCGUAGGCGGUAUUGAAAGUGAGAUGUGAAAGGCCUGGGCUUAACCUAGGAACGGCAUCUUAGACUAUGAUGCUAGAGUGCAGUAGAGGGUGGCGGAAUUUCCGGUGUAGCGGUGAAAUGCGUAGAGAUCGGAAGGAACACCAGUGGCGAAGGCGGCCACCUGGACUGUCACUGACGCUGAGGCGCGAGAGCGUGGGUAGCAAACAGG